UUCAUGGUUGGUAUUUUUAUAAUUAAAUAUGGCGGUAAGGGCAUUUUAGUAAUUUCACCUUUAAAAGUAAGGAUAAAUAAGUAAUUCUUUAUUUUUAAUAAUUGUAAUUUGGCCCAAAUUAAGUAGUUAGGGGCUUAAUUGAAAAGCUAAAGAAAAAUGAGAGUGUUAAAUGGAAAUUUUGCACGGAGAAAUUGUUAGUAAUAAAAAGAAAUGAGGGACUAAAUGGUUAUUAAAAAACGUUGAGGGUCUAAAUUUUGAAACAAGGAAAGAAAGAAAGGGGGAGAUCGGCAUGUCGGGGAAGAAGGAAGAGGGAGAGAAGAGGAGCUGCUAUCUGUCGAGCUCGAGGCGCGGUGGCGGUAGCUGGCGCUGGCGGCAGCAGCUUCAGCAGGCGUUGGCGGCAAUGCGGCGAAGAGAAAAAAAAUAGAGGAGGUAGCAGUUGUCGAUGCCGUGUGGGCUGUUUUCGACGGCAAUGGUGGCCGAGUUGGGUGGCGAUUGACUCACUUGAGUAUGGGCUUCCUUUUGGGAGCAGCGGCGUCGACAAUUAUGGCCGGAGGAAGGAGUUCCGGCGAAGUGAAGGCAGCCAGAAUUUUAGGCUUUUCCUGUCAUCUUCAACGAGUUUUGGCUGAUCAAAGGGCAUAUCUGGACUCCCGUCGGCUCAAGCUUUCCAAUGGCACCAGUUUUGCGGCAAUCAGACUCCAUUUGAAAAUCGACGGCUGAGAUCGUUCGUGAAUUUCUCCGGAUGAUCGGGGGUUGGAUUGGAGGAUCGGGUGAUGGAAUCAUCAUUAGCAUGUUGUCUCGAGUCUGUAGGCGAGCUCGAAUCGUCGAUCGGACUCCAGCGAUUGGAGGCGAGUCGACUGGGUGAUCAAGCGUCUUGGUAAUCAUCUAGCCCAUUGAUUUUAGAGUUUGUUAAUAAAAAUUAUGUGAUUAAUUAUUGUGUUGAGCACCGGAAAAGUUAUGUGAGGUUUGUUUGUCGAAAUAAUUAGUAUGUCGGACCGUUUGCCAAUAAUUGUGAUAUGUAAUGUGUUGCGAAGUCGGAAAAAAUGAUGUACUUUUGAU
rnacentral:lncRNA from 1 species